rnacentral:lncRNA from 1 species
UGAAUAAAUAAAUGUAAUCAGAGCAACUAUUUAUUUCAUUUCUUGGAAAUAAGCACUUUAAUUUGUUUCUCCUCAGUGUGAUAAAUUGUACCCUCAUUCAGGCACUGUGGGAAGCACACUUCUAAGAUGGCACCUAACAAUCCUUGCCCUCCUGCAUUCAUACCCCUCUCUGUGAGUGUGGGCUGAACCUAUGACCUGCUUCUAAUGAAUUACAUAGGACAAACAUGAUGGGAUGCCGCUUCUGAGAUUAGGUUACAAAAGGUUAUAACUUCUGUCUUGUUACUUUUUUCCUUGCUUUGAUGAGUGAACUGCCAUGUUGGAGAGGCCCAUGUGACACAGAGGUUGUAGUGGCCCUUGACCAAAACCAGCUGGGAGCAGAGGUCUUUAGACUAACAGCUCUGAAGGAACUGAAUCCUGUUAACAGCCAAUGAGAAGGCCUCUGAUUUAGUCCACUGGAAUGAUUAGACUGGAGGAACUAAGUAAAAAUGACUUGGAUCAGAAAAUACUGGAGACAGAGAAACCAGUUAAAGCCUAUUGAUGUGCUGGUGAUUUGAGAUAUAGAGCAUCUCUGUGAAAUAAAACGUACUGAAAAACUUCAGCCCUCAGUGCUUCUCCCCAUGUUACAAGAUACUGGCAUCAGAAAAGACCACAAAAUGAAUACCAGUCUUUACUACUUCCUUGCUUUCCAAAUCCCUACUGGGAAGUAAGAUUUAGCAGUGUGAGAGUAAUUAAGCAGAAUACCUCCUUCCUCCAGAUACCAACACAGAUGCAUAAGAAGACAUAGCUGAAUUUUUGAGCAACAGAUGUUAACUUACAAAGGACAAGAUAAGCUGUACUGUGUUCUUUGCAACAGAAGUCAAAUAUCCCAACAUGAGAAGAGCCUCUGUGCAUAUAGGCAAAGAUAACCAACUGUAGCUAAAGGCUCCCGUGUACUUUCAGUACUCAAAAUAGUCAUGCAUAUGGGGAUUCUGUCAGUCAACACCAUAUCUGCUGUUGAUGUUGGUAACAGUGACCAUCAGAAACUUCAGGAAGUGAAAGAAGAUCUCCCAUAGAAAAGGAAACCAUGCAGAACACAGAGAAGAAUCCAAAAAGGACAUGUCUGUUGGCAAACAACUUGGGAGAGAACCAGAAGUGAACCCAGUUGCUUGUGUCAUUAUUUUGCCUUAGCCUCCAAGAGCCUGAACAGCCCAAGGAGGACAAGACAGUCUUGACCUAAGGGAAAGAUAUGCUUUAUUUACAAGAAAACAUUAAAAAAUCUGUUUUGUACAGGAAACUGUCUAGUUCUUUUCCUAUUCACUGCCCCCAAAGAUGACCUAUGAAGCUGGAGAAACUGGAUUAUCGGGAGCCUUGAGCAGCCUUAAGCCCAGGGUGCUAAGGUCACAAAAUGGAUCACUCUCCCUUUGCUGGCUGGGCUCCAGCCACAGCAGGCUUUUUUGAGCUUAUCAAAUAUACUAAGCUCAUUUCAGCUUAGCCCCUGCACUUGGUAAUCCCACUGCCUGCGAUACUCUGCCCCUCAUUGUGUGCAUGGCUAGCACCUUUUCAUUCAAGUCUCAGUUUAAAUGUCAUCUUCUUAAAUAAACCUCGUAUCUAAAGUAUCUAACUCAUCCAACCCUCCCCUGCUGCCUGUUAGUCUGUAUCACAUGAUCUAGUGAUAUUUUCUUCAUAGAGUUUAUCACUAGCUUCAAGUUUCAUUUUAUUUAGUUGCAUAUUUGCUUGUUGUCUAUCUCUCCCCACUAGCAUUUAAAUUCCAUGAGAAUUAGUAUAGAAUCUGUCUUGUUCGCUAUUGUGCCCUCAACAAAAGGCACUGCCACUAGUACAUGAAAGAUGUUCCCUAAAUAUUUGUUGCAUGAAAUAAUAUAUUUUCAUUUCACUAAACCUCAACAUCCUCAUCUAUAAAUAGGACUGAUAUCACUACUUAUAAAGAUUAUAAAAUAAGUGAUAAGCAGUAAACACAAAUUAUGCAGACAAUAUUCAAGAAGUAUUAACUUUUAUUAUCACCAUGAAUUACAAUUUCUACAUUAUUAACACUGAGAACUAAGUGCCUGGCACAGAGUAGGUUUUCACCAAAUGAAUGAAUGAAUGAAAGAAUUAAUAAGAAUUAUACUGAGAGAUUACAAACAACAUGGUUGUCAUAAGCUCUCAGAACUAACUCAAAGAAAAUACUGCCACAGCCUCUGGGGUACUUUAGAUAGAUUAAUGUC